rnacentral:rRNA from 1 species
GAUGAACGCUGGCGGCGUGCCUAACACAUGCAAGUCGAACGGAGAUUACGGACGGAAGUUUUCGGAUGGAAGCCUGUAAUUCUUAGUGGCGGACGGGCGAGUAACGCGUGGGCAACCUGCCCUAUACAGGGGGAUAGCAGCUGGAAACAGCUGGUACGACCGCCUAGGUCGGUUAAAUCGCCUGCUUUGCUCGGGAAAUGUGCAAUCAGGGAUAGGAGGUGCCCGCAUCCGAUUAGCAAGUCGGAAGGGUAAGAGGCUACCAAAGCGACGAGCGGUAGCCGGAAUGAGAGGCAGGACGGCGACAUUGGGGCUGGGCCGCGGCCCAAAAUCCUACGGGAGGCGGCAGUGGGUGAUAUUGCCCAACCGCGUGAACGCUGAAGCAGUGACGCCGGGUGAGUGAAGAAGUAGGGCGAUAUGAGAAGCAGGAUCAGCACGGACUAUGAUGACGGUACCUAAAGAAGAAGCCCCGGCUAACUACGUG